GUGGGUUCGGUUUAGUAUAUGGCGAUGAUCGGAUAGACUAAUAUGGUUGCCAGAAAAAAAUUGAUCGGCUAGGGUUCCGACAGAAACAGAUUCUGGACAAGGCUACGGUUCCGACAAAGAUCCGGUUUGUCAAGCGUGCUGGCUCAAACUUUGUGGUGUUUGAGUUGUAAGCUUCCAAAAGAAGCUUUAUAUUCCAGAAGAGAGGGUUUAAACCUGUACGUCUCACCUCACCCACACUUAUGCACAUGAGAGAGAGCCAUCCCUCCGCCUCACACCUCUGUCGGCGCCACCAUUACCGCCACCGCCACCGCUGCCAUAUCUCCGGCAUCAACGAUACUUAGUAAGUGAUGAAGGUUCCGUAGACGAUUAACGAGAGUCACGAUAGAGGGUUUUAAGGGAGAGUAGGUCGAUGGCUUAGGAUGGUUGAAUUGUCACAUCAGACGACAAUCUGAGAACGCAUGUGUGCUUAAAUGACUGAUGGCGGUGGAUAUGGUUCAACAGAUCGGCGUUGCUAGGGUUCCGUCGAGAUUUUAGCAAGAUUCUGGUGACCCGGUUCAGGUAUGUGUGCUUUAUUUUCAGUUAGAUCUGCUUAGUACGAGUCUUGAUUUGGGAUGUUGUUUGUUAAUAGAUUAUGAAUCUAUAUUUUAUUUAGGCUGUUGUUUGUUGCAACUGCAUAUGUUUUUUAUUUAUGUACUUAUUUAUCAAGACAAUGGGGAACUGAUACUUUUUAUACAACAAAUGGUCAUGUGUAAAUGAUGUAGGAUUGUACUUUAAGCGUACUUCUAAUAUUUUGAUAGAAACUUAACGGGCCAGCCCGGUUUAUUGUGUUUGUAUCCAAAACCAUGUUCGAGGCAACGCACAUAUAGAAUUACUACUCUUUGUAUACAAAAGAUAGGAUGGUAUAAGUUUUGGUGUAGAGGAAAGGAGUGACUGGGAUAUCUUAGGUUAUAUAUUUGCAAUUGUUGUUUCAUCAAAUUCAAUGUUUUUUGUAUUGUAGGGAAGGUAUAAUUUUUUUUUUGGUUUUCAUGGUAGGGUUAUGGUUUAGUCCACUGGCGUAGCCAGGAUUUUCUUCCUACGGGUUCAGAAAUUUUCGAGGGAAGAACGAUCGAUUGUCUAUCACUAAAUAUCGACUUUUUCUACGGGUUCGAUGUCAAAAUACAUGUAUAUAUAACACUAUUUUUUUUUUGGUACGGGUUGCAGCCGAACCCAUACAUCUCUAUAUACCUACACCCCUGUUUUAGUCAUGUAUGGUAACAUCUUUGUUGCAGCCUUUUUCUACAAUGGUUGUUGCUACAACUGAAGGUGGAUGUAUCAGGUAUGCUACUUUUAUUUGUUUUUUUUCUAAUACUUGAAUAGCUUUUUAUUUUUGAAAUAGCUUGUAUGCAAGCUCUAUUACAAUUACUAUAUUGAAGUCUACACCGUUUGCUUUUUAUUGCUAGAAGUGGGAAAGUUAGCUUUAGAAAUUAUAGGUGUCAUGUUCCAACUUUUUUAGGUAGGUUGGAAAUCUCAUUUGUUAACUGUACUUUUUGAGAGAUAUCCGAACCAUGUUCCAUUGUAACAACACUUUUGGAACUGGAAGAUGAUUUACUAGUAGCAAGUGAAAUUUAUAAUCAAGCAGCACUAGAACCUCACAUAAACAAGCAGGGUUACGUUUCCCAAUCUGAUGUGCCAUUACGUUGUCGGGUAAUGCCUCAUCCUUGUAUGAAGAACCCUUGCAUUAAGGAUGCUGCAGAAAAUGAUGUGGACCCAUUUGGAGACCACAAAUCAUAAUGUGAAGAUGAAUACCUUUUGACUUGUUUAUUUUGUUGGGUACAUGAUUUAUAUUUUCAAAAGAAGAGCCCACAACUGAAAUAUCACAAAAAGUUAACUAACUUUAACAGAAAACUUACACAUGUGGUUGAUAUGUGUACUUUUACUGAACACGGUUGAGGUGUGGAAGUCUAUUUUUUUUCA